AUUGAACGCUGGCGGCAUGCCUUACACAUGCAAGUCGAACGGUAACAGGUUAAGCUGACGAGUGGCGAACGGGUGAGUAAUGUAUCGGAACGUGCCCAGUCGUGGGGGAUAACUGCUCGAAAGAGCAGCUAAUACCGCAUACGACCUGAGGGUGAAAGCGGGGGAUCGCAAGACCUCGUGCGAUUGGAGCGGCCGAUAUCAGAUUAGGUAGUUGGUGAGGUAAAGGCUCACCAAGCCGACGAUCUGUAGCUGGUCUGAGAGGACGACCAGCCACACUGGGACUGAGACACGGCCCAGACUCCUACGGGAGGCAGCAGUGGGGAAUUUUGGACAAUGGGCGCAAGCCUGAUCCAGCCAUGCCGCGUGCGGGAAGAAGGCCUUCGGGUUGUAAACCGCUUUUGUCAGGGAAGAAAAGGUUCUGGCUAAUACCUGGGACUCAUGACGGUACCUGAAGAAUAAGCACCGGCUAACUACGUG
rnacentral:rRNA from 1 species